rnacentral:rRNA from 1 species
AUGUGGAAUUCCGAACAUGGGGAGUAUUCCAGAGUGUUUGACUACCAGCAGGAACUUAUGAGAAGCAAUCCAGGUAGUACAGUUGCUAUAACACUUGAUCCAGAGAUGAGAGAUGACCAACAUGUUUUCCGGAGAUUUUAUAUGUGAUUUGCUGCAUGUAAGAAAGGUUUCCUAGCUGGGUGUCGAAGGGUAAAAGGCCUAGAUGGAUGUUUCAUCAAGGGUGCUACCUGUGGGCAGUUGUUAUGUGCUUUGGGCAGAGAUGCAAAUAACCAGAUUUAUCCGAUAGCAUGGGCUUUAGUUGAGAAGGAAACAUAUGACUCUUGGUUUUGGUUUCUUGCACUGUUGAACAAGGAUCUGAAAAUACCAAACCAAGGAGAAGGUUGGGCGGUAAUAUUCGACCAGCAAAAAGGUCUAAUUGGUGCUAUUGAGGACAUAAUUCCCAAAGUUGAACACAGGAUGUGCGCAAGACAUAUAUAUGCAAAUUGGAAAAAGAAAAAACCUGGCCAUGACCUACAAAAGAGGUUUUGGAGGUGUGCAAAAGCUCCCAACCAAAUCUUGUUCAACUACAAUAGAGCUAGGUUGGCUCAGAUAACACCGGAAGGAGCGAGAGAUAUGAUGAACACAAGUCCAGAGCAUUGGAGUAGAGCACACUUGAAGAUUGGGUCCAAUUAUGAUUCAGUCGACAACAACAUGUGUCAAUGUGGGUUGUCCUCAUCCACCAUGGCUUGA